rnacentral:misc_RNA from 1 species
GAUGAAGAACGUAGCGAAACGCGAUAGGUAAUGUGAAUUGCAGAAUUCCGUGAAUCAUCGAAUCUUUGAACGCACAUUGCACCUCUCGGUAUUCCGGGAGGUAUGCCUGUUCGAGCGUCAUUUGUACCCUCAAGCUCUGCUUGGUGUUGGGUGUUUGUUCCGCCUCUGUGUGUGAACUCGCCUCAAAACAAUUGGCAGCCGGCGUACUUGUUUCGGAGCGCAGCACAUUUUGCGAUCCAGAUCAACGUACAGCGGCAUCCAAGAAGCCUUAUUUAACGCUCUUGACCUCGGAUCAGGUAGGGAUACCCGCUGAACUUAAGCAUAUCAAUAAGCGGAGGA